AGACCCGAAACCCGGUGAUCUAGCCAUGGGCAGGUUGAAGGUUGGGUAACACUAACUGGAGGACCGAACCGACUAAUGUUGAAAAAUUAGCGGAUGACCUGUGGCUGGGGGUGAAAGGCCAAUCAAACCGGGAGAUAGCUGGUUCUCCCCGAAAGCUAUUUAGGUAGCGCCUCGUGAAUUCAUCUCCGGGGGUAGAGCACUGUUUCGGCUAGGGGGCCAUCCCGGCUUACCAACCCGAUGCAAACUGCGAAUACCGGAGAAUGUUAUCACGGGAGACACACGGCGGGUGCUAACGUCCGUCGUGAAGAGGGAAACAACCCAGACCGCCAGCUAAGGUCCCAAAGUCAUGGUUAAGUGGGAAACGAUGUGGGAAGGCCCAGACAGCCAGGAUGUUGGCUUAGAAGCAGCCAUCAUUUAAAGAAAGCGUAAUAGCUCACUGGUCGAGUCGGCCUGCGCGGAAGAUGUAACGGGGCUAAACCAUGCACCGAAGCUGCGGCAGCGAACGUAUCACCCAAGACAACUUUACGGAGUUGACGAUUGACGGAGCGAAGCGACGUCAAAGCGUUCAUUAAAGUCGAGUUGGCUUAGGGAUACGUUCGUUGGGUAGGGGAGCGUUCUGUAAGCCUGUGAAGGUGUGUCGUGAGGCAUGCUGGAGGUAUCAGAAGUGCGAAUGCUGACAUAAGUAACGAUAAAGCGGGUGAAAAGCCCGCUCGCCGGAAGACCAAGGGUUCCUGUCCAACGUUAAUCGGGGCAGGGUGAGUCGACCCCUAAGGCGAGGCCGAAAGGCGUAGUCGAUGGGAAACGGGUUAAUAUUCCCGUACUUGGUGUUACUGCGAAGGGGGGACGGAGAAGGCUAUGUUGGCCGGGCGACGGUUGUCCCGG
rnacentral:rRNA from 1 species